GGUUAAGUUGUUAAGGGCGC
rnacentral:rRNA from 1 species